GCCAGACUCCUACGGGAGGCAGCAGUGGGGAAUAUUGCACAAUGGGGGAAACCCUGAUGCAGCGACGCCGCGUGAAGGAUGAAGUAUUUCGGUAUGUAAACUUCUAUCAGCAGGGAAGAAAAUGACGGUACCUGACUAAGAAGCCCCGGCUAACUACGUGCCAGCAGCCGCGGUAAUACGUAGGGGGCAAGCGUUAUCCGGAUUUACUGGGUGUAAAGGGAGCGUAGACGGCAUGGCAAGUCUGAUGUGAAAGGCCGGGGCCCAACCCCGGGACUGCAUUGGAAACUGCGAGGCUGGAGUGUCGGAGAGGCAGGCGGAAUUCCUAGUGUAGCGGUGAAAUGCGUAGAUAUUAGGAGGAACACCAGUGGCGAAGGCGGCCUGCUGGACGAUGACUGACGCUGAGGCACGAAAGUGUGGGGAGCAAACAGGAUUAGAUACCCUAGUAC
rnacentral:rRNA from 1 species